rnacentral:rRNA from 1 species
GACGUAGCGACAGAGAAGCACGGCUAACUCCGUGCCAGCAGCGCGUAUACGAGGGUGCGAGCGUAAUCGAUACUGGGCGUAAAGCGCAUGCAGGUGGUUGUAAGUCAGAUGUGAAAGCCCGGGGCUCAACCUCGGAAUAGCAUUGAAACUGGCAGACUAGAGUACUGUAGAGGGGGGUAGAAUUUCAGGUGUAGCGGUGAAAUGCGUAGAGAUCUGAAGGAAUACCGGUGGCGAAGGCGGCCCCCUGGACAGAUACUGACACUCAGAUGCGAAAGCGUGGGGAGCAAACAGGAUUAGAUACCUGGUAGUCCACGCCGUAAACGAUGUCUACUUGGAGGUUGUGGCCUUGAGCCGUGGCUUUCGGAGCUAACGCGUUAAGUAGACCGCCUGGGGGAGUACGGUCGCAAGAUUAAAACUCAAAUGAAUUGACGGGGGCCCGCACAAGCGGUGGAGCAUGUGGUUUAAUUCGAUGCAACGCGAAGAACCUUACCUACUCUUGACAUCCAGAGAACUUUCCAGAGAUGGAUUGGUGCCUUCGGGAACUCUGAGACAGGUGCUGCAUGGCUGUCGUCAGCUCGUGUUGUGAAAUGUUGGGUUAAGUCCCGCAACGAGCGCAACCCUUAUCCUUGUUUGCCAGCGAGUAAUGUCGGGAACUCCAGGGAGACUGCCGGUGAUAAACCGGAGGAAGGUGGGGACGACGUCAAGUCAUCAUGGCCCUUACGAGUAGGGCUACACACGUGCUACAAUGGCGCAUACAGAGGGCGGCCAACUUGCGAAAGUGAGCGAAUCCCAAAAAGUGCGUCGUAGUCCGGAUUGGAGUCUGCAACUCGACUCCAUGAAGUCGGAAUCGCUAGUAAUCGUGGAUCAGAAUGCCACGGUGAAUACGUUCCCGGGCCUUGUACACACCGCCCGUCACACCAUGGGAGUGGGCUGCAAAAGAAGUAGGUAGUUUAACCUUCGGGAGGACGCUACCACUUG